rnacentral:rRNA from 1 species
AUUGAACGCUGGCGGCAGGCCUAACACAUGCAAGUCGAACGAGUGGCGGACGGGUGAGUAAUGUCUGGGAAACUGCCUGAUGGAGGGGGAUAACUACUGGAAACGGUAGCUAAUACCGCAUACCAUCAGAUGUGCCCAGAGGGGCUUAGCUAGUUGGUGGGGUAACGGCUCGCCAAGGCGACGAUCCCUAUCUGGGCUGAGAGGAUGACCAGCCAUCCUGCAACUGAGACACGGUCCAGACUCCUACGGGAGGCGGCAGUGGGGAAUAUUGCACAAGGGGCGCAAGCCUGAUGCAGCCAGGCGGCGUGUAUGAAGAAGGCCUUCGGGUUGUAAAGUACUUUCAGCGGGGAGGCGUUACCCGCAGAAGAAGCACCGGCUAACUCCGUGCCAGCAGCCGCGGUAAUAU